AGAGUAUUUUCAGUGGAUAGAUGCUCGUUCACAGUGCAGGAGGUUUUUGUAUGGCUACUUAAUGAGUUUGUAUCACUGUGGUUCACUUUUGGUGGAGGAACCAAACUCAUCGUUCACUUGGGUGUGGUGCGGCCCACCCUGACCGUCCUCCCCCCCUCCAGAGAGGAGCUGCAGCAGGACAGUGCCACACUGGUGUGUGUGGCCAGCGGGGGCUUCCCCUCAGCCUGGAGGCUGGGCUGGAAGGUGGGGGGCUGCAGCAGCUCCUCAGGGGUGUCACACAGCCUGGAGGUCCUGGGGAGGGACGGCCACUACAGCUGGAGCAGCACCCUGAGCCUCCCUGCAGACCAGUGGAGGAAGGCGGGCUCAGUGAGCUGUGAGGCCAGUCUGAAUGGACAGAGCCCUGUCACUCAAAGCCUGGACCCUGACCGCUGCUCAGAGUAGAGAAACAACAGAGUCUCUGCUCAGUCAAAUUCUGCUUUUACAAACAAAUCCAACCUGCUGUAAUUAACAUGUGAUCUGCUGCCAUUCUGCUUUCAUGUGACUUCAUGUCUUUAUUUGAACAUUUAUACAUUGUUACAGUCACAUGCUGUCGUCUUUGAGGUUUUGAAACAGAAAUAAAUAUUUCAUGCACUUA